UACGUAGGGCGCAAGCGUUGUCCGGAAUUAUUGGGCGUAAAGAGCUCGUAGGCGGCUUGUCACGUCGGGUGUGAAAGCCCGGGGCUUAACCCCGGGUCUGCAUUCGAUACGGGCUAGCUAGAGUGUGGUAGGGGAGAUCGGAAUUCCUGGUGUAGCGGUGAAAUGCGCAGAUAUCAGGAGGAACACCGGUGGCGAAGGCAGCUCGCUGGGACGUUACUGACGCUGAGACGCGAAAGCGUGGGGAGCAAACAGG
rnacentral:rRNA from 1 species